AACCUUUUUAAAUUGCUCAAGAUAUAGUUCAAGACACAACCUCUAGUAAAUCGGGUUACUUACUACCCUUAGAUUGCAUGUACUGACUUCAAAAUCCAAUAACUCCUUCACUUCAAUUUGUAAUCUAGCAAGCAAUAUACAAAAAGUGUAGCCACAAAAGUUUUCUCUCCAAUCGCAGUCGCCGAUCUUCAAUUGCUAUUUGUACGCGUGCAUUAUGCCAAAAAGAGUGACAGUAGCUUCCAAAUCAACACCUUAACUUUGAGCGCUUGUAUCUCCUUCAUAUAAACUCCAAACCAUACAAAAUUUGUACCAAAACCAUAGCCAAAAACCUAAACUAGCUAAUUCUAGCCUUCAAAGCUCAAAUGGCCCCAAAAAACUAACCCUAAUCCCUAAUAUGGCCUCGGGCAGCC
rnacentral:lncRNA from 1 species